rnacentral:snoRNA from 1 species
GGGCAAUGAAAAGAGUGUGCCAUGAAACAAGGGUAUGAUUAAUCUAAUUCUGUGCACCUGACAUCCAUU